UACGUAGGGGGCAAGCGUUGUCCGGAUUUAUUGGGCGUAAAAGGCUUGUAGGUGGCCACGCCAAGUCGGAUGUGAAAUCUCCCGGCUCAACUGGGAGGGGUCAUUCGAUACUGGCGGGCUCGAGGCCGGUAGGGGGAAGUGGAAUUCCCGGUGUAGUGGUGGAAUGCGCAGAUAUCAGGAGGAACACCGGUGGCGAAGGCGGAUCUCUGGGCCUUACCGUGACG
rnacentral:rRNA from 1 species